AGCGUAUAACUAUAAUCAGUUAAAACUUUCACCACCCCAUGUCUUGGUUCCGACAUCGAGGAAGAUCGCAGCGAACUGCGAUAAGUAAUGUGAAACGCAGAAUUCCGAGAAUCAUCGAAUCUAUGAACGCACAUUGCGCCCUCUGGUAUUCCGGGGGGCAGCCCUGUCCGAGAGUCAAGGCAACCCUCAAGCGCGGCUUGAGUGUCGGACCCUAGUCCCCCCGUGGAUGUGCCAGAAAUCCAGUGGCGGCGUCGUGUUCCGGUGCCCGAGCGUAUGGGGGUUUGUCACCCGCUCUCGGAGGCCCGGCCGGCCCCGGCCCAUCGUCCAUCGAGGACUUGUUCCUCAACCAGGUGGUCCUCGGAUCAGGUAGGGAUACCCGAUGAAUUUAAGCAUAUCAAUAAGCGGAGGAA
rnacentral:rRNA from 1 species